rnacentral:piRNA from 1 species
UACAGGUGUUGGACAGAAGUCUGAAGUGAGUC